ACUCCUACGGGAGGCAGCAGUAGGGAAUUUUCCGCAAUGGACGAAAGUCUGACGGAGCAAUGCCGCGUGAGUGAUGAAGGUUUUCGAAUUGUAAAGCUCUGUUGUAAGGGAAGAAUAGCAAGAAUAGGAAAUGAUUCUUGUCUGACGGUACCUUACCAGAAAGCCACGGCUAACUACGUGCCAGCAGCCGCGGUAAUACGUAGGUGGCAAGCGUUAUCCGGAAUUAUUGGGUUUAAAGGGUCCGUAGGCGGAUUAAUAAGUCAGUGGUGAAAUCCCAUCGCUUAACGAUGGAACUGCCAUUGAUACUGUUAGUCUUGAAUGAGGGUGCAGUGGUUGGAAUGUGUAGUGUAGCGGUGAAAUGCAUAGAUAUUACACAGAACACCGAUUGCGAAGGCAGAUCACUAACCCUAAAUUGACGCUGAGGGACGAAAGCGUGGGGAGCGAACAGGAUUAGAUACCCUGGUAGGAUAG
rnacentral:rRNA from 1 species